UACAGAGGUGGCAAGCGUUGUUCGGAAUUACUGGGCGUAAAGGGCGCGUAGGCGGCCUUCUUAGUCGGACGUGAAAUCCCCAGGCUUAACCUGGGAACUGCAUCCGAUACUGGAUGGCUUGAAUCCGGGAGAGGGAUGCAGAAUUCCAGGUGUAGCGGUGAAAUGCGUAGAUAUCUGGAGGAAUACCGGUGGCGAAGGCGGCAUCCUGGACCGGCAUUGACGCUGAUGAGCGAAAAGCUAGGGGAGCAAACGGGG
rnacentral:rRNA from 1 species